GAAACAAAUAAGCAAAGAUGCAACUGUAAAGUCUUGAGUUUCAGCGUUGUCAGCAAGCCUGUACACUGAGACUGCCCAACAUUUCACGACGUUUGCAAGGCGAAUAGCUGCUGCCUGUUCCCUGUCCUACUGCAAGGCUGUCUCCUAUUUUAAGCGCUCUUCAUUUCUGCACCUUUGUCUGGGCUUUUCUUCACGCCGCCAUCUACAAUAAAGCCUAAUUUGUCUUCCAUCUAACACCCUGAACUCAUGUAGCCCAGGUUAGCAUAUUCCUGAUUCUCCUGCUUCCAAUUCCAAAGUCCCGGGAGUAAAGGUCCUCAACAUGCCACACAAGUGUUCCUGCAUCUGACGUUUUAAAACUGCUCAUUGGGCAGACAAGCGAUUCUUGACUCAAGAUUCCCCGCUUAACUAACUUUGUAACAAUGCGCUCACUCUGUUCCGCAUGGCUAACAAAUGGUAACUUUGCAACAAUGUGCUCACUCUGUUCCGUACUGCACAGCUAACAAAUGGUUCAUGUCCAGCACAUUUGUGUGUAUGCAUAUUUAUAUACAGAAAUACUAGUAGGAUAUGUAUGUUAUAAAUACAUAUAUAGAGCAACAUUAAUUACAUUCACAUUAUUAAAUUGUUCAUUAGAGUAA